GCUUUUUUUCUUUUUCUUUAAAAAAAAACCCAAAUGAAAAUUAACAAAAAUCAUAAACCAACUAAAAUGAAGAACUGAAAUGAGAAGACGGAACCCUAACACCACCGACGCCUUUCGCCGCCGCCAAUAACAGCUACGUUUACUGCCUUUACGAAUUAAAGCUUCGUCGCGUAGCAGCAACGUCGUGAAGGAAGCCUCGCCGCGAUUAGCAGCGCAUCGCCACCCUUCGUCGUCGCCAUCGCCGUCGUGUGCAGUGUUUCCGUCGAAGUGAAGGUACAAGUUGUCAUCUCCAAUUUGUACUAAACUUCCGAUCUGUAGAGGUAAUACGAAAGAAGAAGAAAAUGCAGCAAAGAAAAUCAUCAUUGGGAAGGCCUUCUGGAACCGAUGGCUCUGAUUUUUCCUAUCGUAUGGUAGUUGAUUCAAGGUAUCAACUUGUUGCAAAGGGGAGGAAAUGCCUAUCUCUGCGAUUCAUUAUUGAGGCUUUGUUUCUGUUUAUAGGAGUGAUAUUUGCAUUUUUACCAGGAACAAAAGGGGAUACGCCAAAUACAGUUGCCCUUUCUUCUGUUAUUGCUAGUAUUGUUUUGUUGAUCAUUGCAGAUAUAGGUAGAAGACGAAGCCAGACAAGUUUGUUGAGAUUAUAUGCCUUCGUAUCAUCCAUAGCAAUUCUUCUCUUGGUUGCUUCCCUUGCGAAUCAGUAUUCUCUGCUGAAGAUAUUAAAGCAUAAACGUGCAAUUGUAUUACUGAUGAUGAGUACAUCAGUACAAGGAAUGUAUUGCAGUAGCAUAUGUCUAUAUACACAGUUCAGGGGCAAUCCAGUAUUUUAGUCAUCGAGGAACGAGGGGUUAUGAUGUUGAUUUUCCUAUUCUUCAAACUGGUUUGUUGGUUUAUAUACUCACUUUAUCGUUGUUUAAGAUCAGUAAUAUCAAAGCAGUCGCGACCCUUCUUUUUAACAUGACGCCUCCCAAGAAAGCCUCUUAACCUCUCAUUGAUUUCUUUUCCCAUCUAUCCUUUCAAUAUAGAUUGAUCUGUAUGAAUGUAUCUCAUAUGAGAGAUUAAUGGAAGCUCAUUUAAGCUCUUGUAGAAUUUUCCCUGCAAAUCGUUUUAAAUACAUUUGUUGUUUUUAUGCAAUCUUUUGUAUUGUAAUUUUGACGAAUUGUUUUAUUUUUGAAUUAUUAUUGUCUAGAGUCUAGGGAGGUCCCCUUGAAGUGGAGACCAUCAUUAUUUUUCUUUGAUUAAAUGGAGAGCAUCGUUUUCUGCAUUUUGUUGGCGAUGAAAAUAAAUGUUGCGCUAAA